GGACUGUGGCUCAGUGGUAGAGUGCUUGCCUAGCACAUGUGAAGCCCUGGGCUCGAUCCUCAGCACCA
rnacentral:tRNA from 1 species